rnacentral:tRNA from 1 species
CCGGGCGAGGACCUGGGCUCCGUGGCGGCCCGCCUGGACCGGGCCGGCAUCGUGGCCUCCGCCCGUGCGUUCGAGCGCGCUGCCCGGG